rnacentral:ncRNA from 1 species
AAAUUAUAAAUGUGUAUAUAUUUGUCUCAAAGAUUAAGUCAUCCAUGUUUAAGUAUGAACUAAUUCAGACUGUAAAACCGCAGAUAACUCAUUAAAUCAGUUAUAUACAUUUUUUUUUGUAUUAUACCACUGAUAACACUAUAACCAAUAAAACUGAUCAUUUAACACAUAAUGAAAUGUUUUGGUGGUAGCGGUCGGAAUCGACCCCGUGUCACGCGAGUACGAGACCGGCCCAGUU